UAGAAUCGCCAUUAUUUUUAA
rnacentral:piRNA from 1 species